GUCUCUGUAGCACAAUGGAUUGUGUGUUGGACUUCUAAUCCAAAGGUCCUGGGUUUGAUUCCACCUGGGAUG